GGGAUUUUCCCCACAGUGAUGGAAAGCUGGAAACCCAGAAGAUAGGGAAUCACCAGCUGGAAUUUGGGUUUGGGAUUGAUAAGAAGAGAGCAUUGCAGAGGGGGAGGGACACUGUGAACAAAUGCUCAGGAAAGGGAAUGUGCUCAGUCUGUGUAGGAAGAAAACCAGGGAAUAUGAGCAAACAGUGAUAGUCCAAGAGAGGCCACCUGGGGAAGGAAGGGUGACAGCCCUGGUCCUCUUCCUCCCAUGGUUCAGCUCCCACAGCUCUUUACUGCUUGCCCACACGGGCCAGAUGCCGGCCUGGCAUUUCCCCAUUCCUCCUCCACCCUGUCUCCCCCUUCUAAACACCAACCAGUGGGCAGCCCAAACACAUUUCUCAAAGUCUAAUUAGCAUCAACAAUAGUUCAAGCUAAUCGCCAUAAUUAAUGGAGAGACAAGGCAAUGACUGGGAGAAUUAUAAAUGGGGAUAAUCGAAUGUGAUUGAGUCUGGAGCAGCUUCUAUUCAGGAGAGCUGGAGGGGGAAGGAGACGACUCAUCCCCUCUUCCUUUUAUCCCUCAGAUCUGGGCUCUCCCACUCCCCUGGCCCCCCAUCAGGCAGCGUGAAUACAAAAAGUGACAGUCUCAUCAAAUCAGAUUCCAUCCACAAAGCAGGCAGUGACCUCUCCCAGUGAAUUACAGUUAUUAGACUUAAUUAUAUAAUAAGAGUUGCACAAUGGCCUGGACCCCCUCCUCUUCUCUGACAACACUGGCACCCCCGCGGUGACAAUGGAGCCACAGUUUUCUCUCUGUCCUUUUUUUUCUUCCCCAAAUUACACUCCUUUUCUCCUUCCUCUUUGUUCUUUAUUUUCUCCUUUCUUUUUCCCCUGCCUCCCCUUCCCUACACCUCUCUCCUUCUUUCCUUUAUUCCACCACCUCUUUUUCCUCUCCUUCUUUUAUUUCUUGUCCUCUCUUCCCAGGAGCCUCCCCAACUUUUGCAAUCAGUAUGCAAGAAAGCCCUAGAUAUCUGCCCUGGUUUUCUGCAUUGCUCCUCCACUCCUCCCCCACCCCCCCAAAAAAAAAGGUGUUCCGUCCUCUGCUUCCUUUUCGUGUUUGUGCACAGGGAAAGUAUGGUGGGAUGUCCUCCUCUGUGGGUUUUCUUGCCUUUCCACAGCACUUUGGCAGAUGCCUCUCGCUUCCUGUUGGAACACAACAGCUCCACUUCUUCAUGAGAUGGUUCCCCUCCCUCCCUCCAGUUCUUCCUUCCUUCCUUCUUUCUUAACCUUCCGUAUUUACUGAAUUCCCAAAGCAUACCAGACACAUGUACAUAUGAAAAUAGGAAACUAAAAGCAGAUCCACUCCACCCCUGAACUUCCUGUCUUUACUAAGUUGACUUCGUCUCCGUCCACAUGAUUCAGAGAAGUGGUUCUGAUGCCCCAUGGGCUUUAAACAUGGAGGUCUUAUUUUUCUUCUUCCAUAUUUACUGUACGGAAAUUGUCAACAAGCCGGGCUAUACUAUGUUUACUCCACGUAAAAUCCUGACCUCCUGGGGUCCCCACGGUCUCCAGCGUCACUUUCGUCAUCCAUGGCUACCCCACCACUCAUUUCAGACCUAUAUUCUGGAGACCCUUAUCUGGGCAUUGUC
rnacentral:lncRNA from 1 species